AGGAGCUCACCAAGACAGUAGCUAAAUUCCUCUAUUUGAUUUUUUUUUGUUGCCGAAGUAUGCUACAGGAUCCUGCCCUUGCUGGAGACCCACAGAGAUGAAAUAGAUUGCUCGCCUCUUCUUCCCUUUGGCAAAUGACUGUACUGUUGAAAUGGCGAUGAGAUCGCACUGGCCUAUUUAUUCUGAAUGUUUGUAUGUGAUGC